AUUGAACGCUAGCGGGAUGCUUUACACAUGCAAGUCGAACGAGUGGCGGACGGGUGAGUAAUAUAUCGGAACGUGCCCAGUAGCGGGGGAUAACUACUCGAAAGAGUGGCUAAUACCGCAUACCAUCGGAUGUGCCCAGAUGGGAUUAGCUUGUUGGUGGGGUAACGGCUCACCAAGGCGACGAUCCCUAGCUGGUCUGAGAGGAUGACCAGCCACACUGGAACUGAGACACGGUCCAGACUCCUACGGGAGGCAGCAGUGGGGAAUAUUGCACAAUGGGCGCAAGCCUGAUACAGCCAUGCCGCGUGUAUGAAGAAGGCCUUCGGGUUGUAAAGUACUUUCAGCGGGGAGGCGUUACCCACAGAAGAAGCACCGGCUAACUCCGUGCCAGCAGCCGCGGUAAUAC
rnacentral:rRNA from 1 species